rnacentral:rRNA from 1 species
CGGUCCAGACUCCUACGGGAGGCAGCAGUGGGGAAUAUUGCACAAUGGGCGAAAGCCUGAUGCAGCGACGCCGCGUGCGGGAUGUAGGCCUUCGGGUUGUAAACCGCUUUUAAUUGGGAGCAAGCGAGAGUGAGUGUACCUUUUGAAUAAGCACCGGCUAACUACGUGCCAGCAGCCGCGGUAA